UGAGCAGGACAAUAUAAAUGUUAUGCAAAUUCACAUAUUAGAAGCCUUACAUCACUUCAAUAUCUUAUCUCUUGUAUCCACUAAUUUUUUUGAUACCGCGCCAUUAGAUAGUACUUAUUUUGACAAUUUCAGCAUGGAUGAUGUGGAUUGCUCACUCUCUAUUUCUUGCAGCUUCUUUUAGAUUCAAAAUUGCAACUUACAUUGUUAUGUCUUACUCUAAUAGGACCAAGAACCUAAACUUUAGAUCCUAAGAUGAAUGUUGUCUAGGCUAGCUAUUACUUGAAAUUAUUAUUGCUAGUUUACUGGUUGCUUAAAUCUCAUCCUCUGAAUUCUUAUCAGUGCAUGCUUUUAAAAAUAUUGGUUCCAUUCUCAUGAUAUUAGUUCUUAAUUUCCAUGUAUGUCCUUAUCUAAUGUGUAUCAUUAAAAUUAUUCUUGUAAAGUCGAAUUGUACUUGUGUCUGCAGGUUUUUGGAAUAGAUACAAUGGUGGGUAUUGCAACAUGAUAUUGAAGAAAAUUACUUUUGUUUUGAUCAAUCAAUUGUCCUUUUUAAAAAAAAAACACAAUAAAACAUGAUGUAUUUUAUAUUUUAAGCUUGUAUAAGGAUGUAAUUAUAAAUUUAUUGUGUUUUAUAUUUUAUAUUUUAAGCUUGUAUAAGGAUUUAUAUAGUAUUUGUGAGAAUUAUAUAGGUACCAAAAUUUCUUUUUUUUUACUAAAUUAUGAGUAUUUGUGAGGAUAAAAAUUGUCACAUAAGGUAUUUGUAACGAAUAUUGUUAUUACAAAUAUAUAUAAAAUAUUACUCCAAAUUUGACUAUUGGUGACGAAUUUAUUUCUUGUAACGACACUAAAUAGUUUUAGUGAG
rnacentral:lncRNA from 1 species